rnacentral:rRNA from 1 species
CCCUUAGAUGUUCUGGGCCGCACGCGCGCUACACUGACGAUGGCAACGAGUUUUACCUUCGCCGAAAGGUGUGGGUAAUCUUUUGAAACAUCGUCGUGCUGGGGAUAGAUCAUUGCAAUUUUUGAUCUUGAACGAGGAAUUCCUAGUAAGCGCGAGUCAUCAGCUCGCGUUGAUUACGUCCCUGCCCUUUGUACACACCGCCCGUCGCUACUACCGAUUGAAUGGUUUAGUGAGGACUCCUGAUUGGCGCCGCCGCCCCGGCAACGGAGCAGCGGACUGCCGAAAAGUUGUUCAAACUUGAUCAUUUAGAGGAAGUAAAAGUCGUAACA